UGGGGAAUAUUGCACAAUGGGCGCAAGCCUGAUGCAGCCAUGCCGCGUGUAUGAAGAAGGCCUUCGGGUUGUAAAGUACUUUCAGCGGGGAGGAAGGGAGUAAAGUUAAUACCUUGGCUCAUUGACGUUACCCGCAGAAGAAGCACCGGCUAACUCCGUGCCAGCAGCCGCGGUAAUACGGAGGGUGCAAGCGUUAAUCGGAAUUACUGGGCGUAAAGCGCACGCAGGCGGUUUGUUAAGUCAGAUGUGAAAUCCCCGGGCUCAACCUGGGAACUGCAUCUGAUACUGGCCAGCUUGAGUCUCGUAGAGGGGGGUAGAAUUCCAGGUGUAGCGGUGAAAUGCGUAGAGAUCUGGAGGAAUACCGGUGGCGAAGGCGGCCCCCUGGACGAAGACUGACGCUCAGGUGCGAAAGCGUGGGGAGCAAACAGG
rnacentral:rRNA from 1 species